ACUUACGACCACACCGGCCUGAGUACGCCUGAUCUCAUCUGAUCUCGGAAGCUAAGCAGGGUAGGGCCUGUUUAGUACUUGGAUGGGUGACCGCCUGGGAAUACCAGGUGCUGCAAGCU
rnacentral:rRNA from 1 species